rnacentral:rRNA from 1 species
CCAGACUCCUACGGGAGGCAGCAGUGGGGAAUCUUCCGCAAUGGACGAAAGUCUGACGGAGCAACGCCGCGUGAGUGAUGACGGCCUUCGGGUUGUAAAGCUCUGUUAAUCGGGACGAAAGGCCUUCUUGCGAAUAGUGAGAAGGAUUGACGGUACCGGAAUAGAAAGCCACGGCUAACUACGUGCCAGCAGCCGCGGUAAUACGUAGGUGGCAAGCGUUGUCCGGAAUUAUUGGGCGUAUAGCGCGC